AUGCUCUACCUGCGCCAGAAUAAAGGCUUCUUGUAUGCCUCUCUUUCUGUUAUGUCUCACAUAGUUUUCUUAGCUGGGCAAAUAUCCCAGAAUUCAUGGAUGGCUGCCAAUGUCCAAAAUCCUCAUGUUAGUACACUGAAGUUAAUUUCUGUGUACGUUGGUAUUGGAGUUUGCACAAUGAUCUUUGUGCUAUCGAGAUCUUUAUUUGUCGUUGUUCUUGGCAUCCAAACUUCAAGAUCCUUAUUUUCCCAGUUACUCAAUUCAUUGUUCCGUGCACCUAUGUCCUUCUUUGAUUCUACUCCUCAAGGAAGGAUUCUUAGCCGGGUCUCUUCAGAUUUGAGUAUCGUUGACCUUGAUAUUCCAUUUGCAUUCAUGUUUAGCCUCAGUUCCAGCUUAAACGCAUAUAGCAAUGUGGGGGUAUUGGCUGUUGUUGUAUGGCAAGUUCUCUUUGUAGCACUGCCGAUGAUAGUUUUGGUAAUUCAGUUGCAGAGGUACUAUUUAGCCUCAGCUAAGGAAUUGAUGCGGAUCAACGGAACCACCAAGUCUGCUCUAGCAAAUCAUUUAGGUGAAUCGAUCUCAGGGGCUAUAACAAUACGUGCCUUUGAGGAGGAAGAUCGUUUCUUUGCCAAAAAUCUGGAGCUUGUUGACAAGAAUGCCGGUCCAUACUUCUUUAAUUUUGCAGCAACUGAAUGGUUAAUUGAACGUCUGGAAAUAAUGGGUGCUGUGGUUCUUUCUUCUUCUGCCUUUGUCAUGGCUCUUCUUCCUGCAGGAACUUUUAGCCCUGGUUUUAUUGGAAUGGCAUUGUCCUAUGGCCUUUCCCUAAAUAAUUCCUUUGUUAACACCAUACAAAAGCAAUGUGACCUCGCAAAUAAAAUAAUAUCUGUGGAACGGGUGAACCAGUACAUGGACAUUCCGAGUGAAGCACCAGAAGUUAUUGAAGAAAACCGACCAGCACCAGAUUGGCCCCAAGUUGGCAGCGUGGAGCUUAAAGAUCUGAAGAUUAGGUACAGGGAAGAUGCACCCCUUGUACUACAUGGUAUCACUUGCAAAUUUCAAGGUAGAGAUAAGAUUGGUAUUGUUGGUCGAACAGGAAGUGGCAAGACAACUUUAAUUGGUGCAUUGUUUCGCCUUGUUGAACCUGCUGAAGGGAAAAUAAUUAUAGACUCUGUGGACAUCAGUACAAUAGGCUUGCAUGACCUGCGUUCGCGUUUGGGCAUCAUUCCACAAGAUCCAACACUUUUUCAGGGUACAGUAAGAUACAAUCUAGAUCCUCUUGGGCAAUUCUCGGAUCAGCAAAUAUGGGAGGUUCUUGACAAAUGUCAACUUCUUGAAGCUGUCCAGGAGAAGAAACAGGGAUUGGAUUCACUUGUUGCGGAAGACGGGUCGAACUGGAGCAUGGGCCAAAGGCAGCUCUUUUGUUUGGGGCGCACACUUUUGAAAAGGUGCCGCAUCUUGGUCCUUGAUGAAGCAACAGCCUCUAUAGACAACACAACAGACGCCGUCCUUCAAAAAACGAUCCGGACAGAAUUCAAACAUUGCACCGUUAUUACGGUCGCCCACCGUAUACCAACAGUUAUGGACUGCGACAUGGUACUUGCAAUGAGUGAUGGGAAAGUAGCGGAGUAUGACAAACCCUCGAAGCUCAUGGAAACUGAAGGAUCUCUCUUCCGCGAGCUGGUGAACGAGUACUGGUCAUACACAUCAAACGGAAACAUUUAG
rnacentral:rRNA from 1 species